AAACCAUGAAUCGAGAAUUUUCACAGUAAAUCUUUGAACCUCUUCCAUGCUUCUUACAAGUUUUCAUCAUCCAAUUACUUGAAAAGAUGCAAUGUCAUUCCUUAAUCU